rnacentral:misc_RNA from 1 species
GGAUUUUGCGACUUAUAAGUGGCGAGGCACCACGCGAGCAAAAAUGAACAGCCCUGGAGGUUAUGGGCACUGCUCAAUUGGCUCAUUCCUCGGUGCUUCUCGAAGGCCUGGUCAAGGAGGAGUUGCUCAGUGAACUACUAGUUUGAGUUCCCUGAGAUGGACACCACUGACAUCACCUACAGUGCCGAGGUACAGGCUUAAUGGCAGAUAUCAAUAGGAGAUGAUGGUACGCGUCACGUCUGUUUGGUUGGACAGCCACCAAGUUGACUUGGAUGUCAGCGCCUGUUGUCAUCAGAACCUGGUUCUUGUGCUGCCACAUCAUUUUUGGUGGUGGCGCUGUCGUCACCUCCCAACGCUUGCGCUCCCCGAGUUCCCAUUCAAGAUGGUGCUGCCACGGACUUUGGCUCGUGGGGGUGCCGUCGCUACUGACAAAGCCUGUGCUCCCCGUCGUCCCUGUUGAAAUGGUGGCUGGAACUUGGAGGGGGUUCGCUGCCACAGCCGGAUCCAGUGUUACAUUCCUGUGGCUUUUUGGUUGUUUCCCAAUUAUUGAAGGGAGUUGCAGGCUUAUCAUGGGCGACACAGUGCUUUGCUCGCACCUUCACGGAGUACAGCAAUGUGGGGAAGCAAGUCGAGGACAGCCUCUCUCGAUUUCUGUCCCGGGGGCGCUAUGCUCUUCCAGGACCAAGCAAGAAACACAGUGCAGAGAGGCAAGGAGGUAAAAUAAAGGGAGCAAAGCAAAAGGAACAGGGUAUGUGUUCCUAGUAGUCAUGCCGGCCACCUUGAGUGGCAGUGUUUGGGCAUAAGAACCAAGAAGGAAAUUCAUGAAGCCUGUAAUUCUAACACAUAUAUACUUUUGGACGUUCGAUAGGACCGGUUUCCGUGAACAUAACAGCCGAGAAAACAUCUCACACCUUACAGACAUG